CCCUCCACCUCGUCUCCUCUCCAACGUCGCCGCCCUUGAUGCGCCGUGAGCCCUGCAGAAGCCCACUCCUAACCCUAUUCGCUCGAUUGAAGACCAGGGUAACGGAUUGGAUCGAGGGCGCCCGCAUGGCCUCGCCACCGCUGCCGCCUGGAUUUGCUAGCCGCGGCGUGGAGUCACCCUGGCCGCCGCCUCGAGUCACCUCAGUCGCCGCCGCGAGUCAGCUCCACCGUUGCCGCCACUAAUCUCGUCCAGACAAGGAACGAAUGUUCUAGGGUUGGAGCAGAGGGGGUUGAGCAGCAGUUGAGCUUAGGCAUGAAUUUACAGAUUCAAGAUUUUCUUACACAUGGGGCUUAUUCUCGUAAUGUUUCUAGGCUCAUAUCAGGUCGCUUUGGAGGCUGAUAUCAGGUGGCUACUCAUGUCUGGCUUGGUGGCUUGGUGGCUUGGUGCCUAUAUUUUAGAUGUUCCAUUAAUCUUGGCUGCUUUUCUCAUCCGUUUUGGGCUUUAAUCUUGGAUCUAGAAGGUUGCAGCUUCUUUGUUCUCCUACUCAAGAUUUGCUCAUUGUUCAGUUCAAGCCAUGUUCUUCAGGAAAAUCAUUUUUUCUUCACUUCCAAGGACAGCGUCACUCAACUUUGCUUGGAGCAUGCUUAUUUGUUUCGACAUUGCCUUUGCUUAAUAUUUUCUCUUGAUUUCCUAUGUUGAUAUCGACUGAUCUGUUGUGUUGGCAAUUUCUCGCCACUGGCCCAUUAUAACUGCUAUUGGUCAUGCACCUGGUGCAGUUCUAAUUUGGGAUUGUGCUUGCUGAAUGCCCUCAUUUUUUUACUACCUUCCGUUGGUGUAUAUGCAAGUUGUAGAGGUUUGUUGUUCAAUCUGGUUAUAACUUUAUUCUCCUAUUUUCUUACUCAUUGCCACAUUGUCUUAGUUAUUAGAAAUGUAAAUAGGCCAUGUGAAAGUAAGCUAAAGUAGCUUUUUUGGGAGAUUUUUUGUGACACUGUUUUUUGUACAACAGAACCAUUUUUCUGCUAAGUAAAUAACAUUCCAUGUCCAACAUCUGAUGGUUUGCUACCUAUAUUACUGGCUUGCAUGCUUUGAGAAGAUGAUUUUAGCAUGUUUGUCAUUCAUAUAUCUGUCCAUCUGCGAUGGAAAAAAUGUUAAUUGUUCUUGCCUCUGAAGGAAAUAUGCCCUAGAGGCAA